AUUGAACGCUGGCGGAAUGCUUUACACAUGCAAGUCGAACGGCAGCACGGGGGCAGCCCUGGUGGCGAGUGGCGAACGGGUGAGUAAUACAUCGGAACGUGCCCGGUCGUGGGGGAUAACGUAGCGAAAGUUACGCUAAUACCGCAUACGAUCUGAGGAUGAAAGCGGGGGACCUUCGGGCCUCGCGCGAUCGGAGCGGCCGAUGUCAGAUUAGGUAGUUGGUGGGGUAAAGGCCUACCAAGCCGACGAUCUGUAGCUGGUCUGAGAGGACGACCAGCCACACUGGGACUGAGACACGCCCCAGACUCCUACGGGAGGCAGCAGUGGGGAAUGUUGGACAAUGGGCGCAAGCCUGAUCCAGCCAUUCCGCGUGCAGGACGAAGGCCUUCGGGUUGUAAACUGCUUUUGUACGGAACGAAAAGGCUCUGGCUAAUACCUGGGGCUCAUGACGGUACCGUAAGAAUAAGCACCGGCUAACUACGUG
rnacentral:rRNA from 1 species